rnacentral:rRNA from 1 species
UACGUAGGUGGCAAGCGUUAUCCGGAAUUAUUGGGCGUAAAGCGCGCGCAGGUGGUUUCUUAAGUCUGAUGUGAAAGCCCACGGCUCAACCGUGGAGGGUCAUUGGAAACUGGGAGACUUGAGUGCAGAAGAGGAAAGUGGAAUUCCAUGUGUAGCGGUGAAAUGCGUAGAGAUAUGGAGGAACACCAGUGGCGAAGGCGACUUUCUGGUCUGAUAACUGACACUGAGGCGCGAAAGCGUGGGGAGCAAACAGG